ACAUAUGUAUACAUAAAAAAAUAAUUUAAAACAUACCCGAGAGUAAGUAAAAAUGAGUCUAUACAUAAGCAAUUGCAUGUGAAUUAUAUAUCAAAAAUAAAAAUUUAUGUAUAUAUAUUUUUUGUUAUAUACGUAUAUAUAUGUAUAUAUAUAAAGGAUAAGAUGAUUAUAUUUUGUAAACGAUCAAAAUAAAUUUUACAUAUUGCGAGAUAUAAUUACCAUUGCUAAAUGGCUAAAUGGCCAAUUGUUAACAUCAUUUUAGUUCAUUUGUUUGUUUGUUUGUUCACUUGUUUAUUCACUUGUUAAUGAACCUAUGUAAAUGCAUAUUUUACAGUUUCUUACGUUUUAUUCCUUUUAUUAAAAUGCGUUUCGUAAACUAAAAACGGACAUAAAAAAAGAAAAAAAAUAAAAAGCAAAAAUAAGUUUAUAGUAAAUAAAAAAAAAUAAUAAAAUGGAAAAAAAAGACCUUUUAAAAACGUUAGAGAGGGAACUGAAGCAAUAUGGAGAGGAAGAAAUGCUGCUAUAUUUUCACGAGUUUUACAAGUCUGUUUCAAAAAACGAUACAGAGCAGGCUCAACGGAUAUUUAAUGAAAUGACUCAGGAAAUGAAGUAUGUAUUGAUUUGAAAAAAAAACAA
rnacentral:lncRNA from 1 species